GAAACCCCUGUCACAUACUCCCUAGAUGGCUCAAUCAAUCAUGACACUUUCAUGUAAAAUCUUUAGUAUUGUGAGCCCUUAAAAGGGACAGAAUUUGUGCACUCAAGAAGCUCGGAUUUUGAGAUGUUAGUCUGCUGAUGCUUCCAGCUGACUAAAGCCACUUCCUCCACUCCCUCAGUGUCUGUGAGGUUUUGUCUGCAGCUCAUCCUGCUACAUUUCUUGUUUCCCUGAUCAGGAAGCGAGGUAACUGACGGACGGCUGAGGCAUCCCCUUAGGCAGCUUAGGCCUGCUCUAUGGAGCAUCCCUGUGGGAGACUCUGGCCUGCCUUAGUGACGUGAUCCAAAGAGUGAUCCCAGGUAGGCAAUUGCCCUGGUGGAAUGCCUUGCCAGAGCAGCAUGUGCCAGGCCCACAUGGAGGAUCAACGCAGUGGCUGAACACAAGGGAGGAACUGGCACUUGGAGUGCAGACAUCUGAAACUUGGUUUUUGCAUGAAGAGGAGCAGGAGUCUCGAAGGCACAGCCAGAGUUUCACUGGGCUUUUUCUGAAAUCCACUUCCAUGUGCAGUACCCUGGAAACUCUCUGUUUACGAGCCUGGAAAGCUGUGGGGUUCAAUUCCUUGUUUUGCCCAUCUCUCAUUGCCUUUUGCUGACUGUCAUUAAAAGUG
rnacentral:lncRNA from 10 species